rnacentral:lncRNA from 1 species
UGGGAGGGGGAACAGAGAACAUUCGGGAACAAGGGGCAGGUAUCAGGGUGGACUGGCAACUGGGGUAGGAGGGCACAACUGGGACUAAACUAUUAACAAGGGUGUGGGGAGGUAAAACUUAACAAUACAGAAGGAUGCUCCUGAUUUCUGCUGAGUGGUGCACAUCCAAGACUUUUUGUGACUGGUGGGAAGGGACCUGAACACAUCCACAGUUCUCUCACAGGAGAGACAAAAACCCCACAGAAGAUCUAUAAUCUUAACCUGUUUGAACUUAUUUUUCUGUGUUUCCUUCAAGGAUGUUCACUCCCUGUGAGAUAAAUCAGCAUUGCUCAAGCCUUCCUCUGAAAUAUAGAACUUUGGAAACCUGAGGACUGAGCUUUCUAUAACAGCUUCUAGAAAACUUUCUUGUCCAAAGGCUCCUAGAAAAGUAAAAAAAUUAAAAUAUAUCAUCAGAGCAGUUGUAAGACUCUGGACAGUAGGAUGGACUGAGGAAACCUUC